CACAUUAGUCGGCGGUGUGCACGUACCCUGAUAGUGUCACAGUGGAAAGUUCGGGCGAUAUUGAACAAAGAGAAACUACAUCCCUAUCAUUAUACACCGGUUCCAGACUUGCUUGAAGGUACUUGACUGUAAGGGAGGACCUUGAUCAGCGUUUUCCGAAUCGAUGGAUGGGGAGAGGAGGCCCCAUAUCAUGGCCUGCUAGAAGCCCAGAUCUAACUCCGUUGGACUUUCACGUAUGGGGUAGGAUAAAAGAAUGCUGUUAUUACAUUUACGCAUACAUUUUGGCAAGGUUAACCCGGACAGAAAUGCGUUAGAAGAAAAGGACUUCAUGUUGCGCAAGAUCUUAAGUAGUUACUGUUUAGACUUAAUGAAUAAGAUUUUUUCCGUAUCGAAGCAAGCUUAGCACUCAUUCAAUACUUAGAAUUAGUUAAAUUUUAAUUCACAGGUAAAGUAAUAUAAUAUGUAAAAACAAAUAAAGAACUCUAAGAAUGAUGUCUACUGCGGCUAGUAAUAUUUGUUGUGAUGAAAUUGAUACAUAUUUGGUGAAUAGUACAACACAUAACCAUCAGGUAACAAGACCUAAAACUGCGUCAGCUGGACUGUAGGUGGAAAAAAGCCGGACAUCGGUCACAUGACAAAGGUUAUGACACACCUAAAUUAUGCUCAAAUGGAGACUGAUGGAAUGGAGACAGACGUUACUGAGAGAGUGUCAAUGACGAUUUCAAUUUGUCUACUAAUACGGCGAGCAACCGAGCCGCUUUUGAGAGGAGUUACCGUUAACUUUGCACAUAGAAGCAGCCUUGGCCCAAGAAAAUUAGAAUAAUUGACCAAUAGACCUAAAUAAGCAUCAUUUUCCAACAAAAAAUUAAUAUUCUUAUUUGGCGAUUGCGUCUAUUUAUCUUAGUCGUACAGAACACUAGGCGUCUAUUACGCGGUUAUUAUUAUAUUAUUUGAGCAUGAAUGUAUUUUACCAGUUAGUCGUUUAUGAAUGUUAAUGAUAAACUUUGAAAGCAAGUAAAGUCCAAAUAAAAAAAGGAUAUAUUA